rnacentral:rRNA from 1 species
CCUACGGGAGGCAGCAGUGGGGAAUAUUGCACAAUGGGCGAAAGCCUGAUGCAGCGACGCCGCGUGAGGGAUGACGGCCUUCGGGUUGUAAACCUCUUUCAGCAGGGAAGAAGCGAAAGUGACGGUACCUGCAGAAGAAGCGCCGGCUAACUACGUGCCAGCAGCCGCGGUAAUACGUAGGGCGCAAGCGUUGUCCGGAAUUAUUGGGCGUAAAGAGCUCGUAGGCGGCUUGUCACGUCGGAUGUGAAAGCCCGGGGCUUAACCCCGGGUCUGCAUUCGAUACGGGCUAGCUAGAGUGUGGUAGGGGAGAUCGGAAUUCCUGGUGUAGCGGUGAAAUGCGCAGAUAUCAGGAGGAACACCGGUGGCGAAGGCGGAUCUCUGGGCCAUUACUGACGCUGAGGAGCGAAAGCGUGGGGAGCGAACAGGAUUAGAUACCCUGGUAGUCCACGCCGUAAACGUUGGGAACUAGGUGUUGGCGACAUUCCACGUCGUCGGUGCCGCAGCUAACGCAUUAAGUUCCCCGCCUGGGGAGUCGGCCGCAAGGCUAAAACUCAAAGGAAUUGACGGCUUGAGCGNGCGAGCGCACGAGGGAGAGG